GUCCUAGCCGUAACGGUGCACGUUGCUGUAAAGGAAUCGACCCUUUGUGGCGUAGCCAACGCGUUAAACGUGCCGCCUGGGAAGUACGGUCGCAAGAUUAAACUCAAAGAAUUGACGGGGCCUGCACAAGCGGUGGAGUAUGUGGCUCAAUUCGAUGCAACGCGAAGAACCUUACCUGGCCUUGACAUGUACGUAGUAGAAGGGUGAAAGCCUGACGAGGUAGCAAUACCAGCGUACACAGGUGCUGCAUGGCUGUCGU
rnacentral:rRNA from 1 species